rnacentral:rRNA from 1 species
CCUACGGGUGGCAGCAGUGGGGAAUAUUGCACAAUGGGGGAAACCCUGAUGCAGCGACGCCGCGUGAGGGAAGACGUAAUUCGUUAUUUAAAGCUCUAUUUGCAGGGAAGAAAAUGACGAUACCUGAGUAAGAAGCCCCGGCUAAAUACGUGCCAGCAGCCGCGGUAAUACGUAGGGUGCAAGCGUUAUCCGGAUUUACUGGGUGUAACGGGUGCGCAGGCGGCACGGCAAGCCUGAGGUGAAAGCCCGCGGCCCAACCGCGGGACUGCAUUGGGAACUGCCGGGCUGGAGUGGCGGGGAGGUAGGCGGAAUUCCUGGUGUAGCGGUGAAAUGCGUAGAGAUUAGGAGGAACAUCAGUGGCGAAGGCGGCUAUCUGGCACAUAACUGACGUUGAGGAGCGAAAGCGUGGGGAGCAAACAGGAUUAGAUACCCGAGUAGUC